UAGGGAAUCUUCCACAAUGGACGAAAGUCUGAUGGAGCAACGCCGCGUGAGUGAUGAAGGGUUUCGGCUCGUAAAACUCUGUUGUUGGAGAAGAACGGGUGUCAGAGUAACUGUUGACAUCGUGACGGUAUCCAACCAGAAAGCCACGGCUAACUACGUGCCAGCAGCCGCGGUAAUACGUAGGUGGCAAGCGUUGUCCGGAUUUAUUGGGCGUAAAGCGAGCGCAGGCGGUUUUUUAGGUCUGAUGUGAAAGCCUUCGGCUUAACCGGAGAAGUGCAUCGGAAACCGGGAGACUUGAGUGCAGAAGAGGACAGUGGAACUCCAUGUGUAGCGGUGAAAUGCGUAGAUAUAUGGAAGAACACCAGUGGCGAAGGCGGCUGUCUGGUCUGCAACUGACGCUGAGGCUCGAAAGCAUGGGUAGCGAACAGGAUUAGAUACCCUGGUAGUCCAUGCCGUAAACGAUGAGUGCUAAGUGUUGGAGGGUUUCCGCCCUUCAGUGCUGCAGUUAACGCAUUAAGCACUCCGCCUGGGGAGUACGACCGCAAGGUUGAAAC
rnacentral:rRNA from 1 species